UAAGGACAGAACGGUAACGCCUGCGAGCAUCGGAACGGACAGCCAUCAAACAACUACCCCCGCCCCUCCCCUUCGGCUGCCCGGUGAGGGAAGAGCGCUGACCCUGGGUUUAAUGAACAAAGAGCUGGUUGUCAGCACCUCGCUGCUGACCAGGACACAGAGACAGUGCUGACACCACCAAAGGCUUUGUGAGGCCUGGACAGCACGCUGGGGAUCUCUCCCUUCCAGAGCCUUCCCCUGUCCUCGGUGGGGAGGACAUAAAUUCCGGGCCAGCUCCCAGCGGCCGAAUGCUAAUGCAGAGACAGAGAGAGACGAGCAGCGUUGGGACACAGAGAGCUGAGAAUGCCGGGGGCAAAAGGUAGCAAGUCUGACAAGAAGUCAUCCACUAAGCAGGUUCCGAAGGAGUCCAAGAAAGGAGAAGACAAGAAACAAGGAGGGCAGCCAAAGGCCGAGGGGCAGUGAGCUGCGCGACUUGCUGAAGAUGGCUCUGGCCGUCCUGCUGGGCUCCUGCAUCGGCUCCCGCAAGCGGAGACCCUCGGGCUAACCAGGCCCCUGCACCGGACGGGGGCCGCUGGACAACUGCCGCUCCAAUAAAGUCGACUUGAAUAACCCUGUUGUCGAGAGUUCAUUCAC